rnacentral:lncRNA from 1 species
CGGGGGUCUCGGAGGCGGGGACAAAGACCCGGAGCGGCGGCGACUCCGCCCCGCAGCAGGAAGAGAGUGAAGCACACCUGGAUUGGAUAGUGCUUGUUAUUACAGAUAAGGGUGCACUUUCUAGAUUCUUCUCCUGAGUGGCAAAGUUUUCCCACCGUCUUGUCCAAACAUACUUUGCUGAUGGUAUCUCUGGGCACUACACAGUGCAAGGGACAAGGAAAAAGGGCUUUUCCAGAGGAGAGUGACCUGCAUCUUGGAGGAACUCUAGAACAUGUUCGAGGAAUGGUGACUGGGGCUUCUGGAGCCAAGGGCUGACUCAGGGAACAGAUCUCAGCUCAAGGUGAGGUCAUUUCUGUUUCCUGCAUGUCCCUCCAGCUGCUGACAUUUUACCUCUUCAAGGACUGAUUCAAAUGCCAUCUCCAUUGUGCAAUCUUCCUUGAUCACCCCCCAACUUCCAUCUGAGACUUCUGAGUUUCUCCCUCACUAGAUCUGGAGGGUAGGAGUGGGUCUUGUUCAUUUUUUGUUCUCACAGUGCACUUGCUAGAGAAUGGCUUGGGAAGCCUUUGUAGGAUUGGACUGGCCCUCAGCGAAAGUUCAGCAGUUAGGAGAACUGCCUUAGUACUUAGGAAGCUUCCUAGUGUGAAUGCCAGCAUCAUCACUUACUAGCUGUACUUCAGUUUUCUCAUAGGGUUGUUGUGAAGAUUAAAUGAAGACUGGACAAAGUCAGUCAAUGUUUAUUUCACAAUCACUGAGCAGCAAGUAUUCCUUGUGUACCAGUCUCUGUUCCAGAAACAACGUCAUAAGAGAUCAUCAAGAUUAUCUCUGGACUUAAGGCAUAUCUUCUCUCUAUCUCUUUUGAGACAGAGUCUCGCUCUGUCACCCAGACUGGAGUGCAGUGGCAUGAUCUCGG